rnacentral:piRNA from 1 species
UACUGCAGUAUGACGAGCCGGGA